GACGAACGCUGGCGGCGUGCCUAAUACAUGCAAGUUGAGCGCUGAAGGUUGGUACUUGUACCAACUGGAUGAGCAGCGAACGGGUGAGUAACGCGUGGGGAAUCUGCCUUUGAGCGGGGGACAACAUUUGGAAACGAAUGCUAAUACCGCAUAAAAACUUUAAACACAAGUUUUAAGUUUGAAAGAUGCAAUUGCAUCACUCAAAGAUGAUCCCGCGUUGUAUUAGCUAGUUGGUGAGGUAAAGGCUCACCAAGGCGAUGAUACAUAGCCGACCUGAGAGGGUGAUCGGCCACAUUGGGACUGAGACACGGCCCAAACUCCUACGGGAGGCAGCAGUAGGGAAUCUUCGGCAAUGGACGAAAGUCUGACCGAGCAGCGCCGCGUGAGUGAAGAAGGUUGUCGGAUCGUAAAACUCUGUUGGUAGAGAAGAACGUUGGUGAGAGUGGAAAGCUCAUCAAGUGACGGUAACUACCCAGAAAGGGACGGCUAACUACGUG
rnacentral:rRNA from 1 species